UAAUGCUCCAUAGUGGAUAUGUCCUGGAAUGGUAUAUCCUCGAAAGAUCCGUCGCCUUAGGAUGGGACUGCGUCCGAUUAGGUUGUUGGCGGGGUAACGGCCCACCAAGCCAUUGAUCGGUACGGGUUGUGGGAGCAAGAUCCCGGAGAUGGAUUCUGAGACAUGAAUCCAGGCCCUACGGGGCGCAGCAGGCGCGCAAACUUUACAAUGCGAGCAAUCGUGAUAAGGAAACCCUGAGUGCCUGUCGAUGCAGGCUGUUCAUAUAUCUAAAUCAUAUGUGAAGAAAGGGCAGGGCAAGACCGGUGCCAGCCGCCGCGGUAAUACCGGCUGCUCGAGUGAUGGCCACUAUUACUGGGUUUAAAGCGUCCGUAGCUUGACUGUUAGGUCUCUUGGGAAAUCUUCACGCUCAACGUGAAGGCGUCUAAGAGAUACCGGCAGUCUUGGAACUGGGAGAGGUAAACCGUACUUCGGGGGUAGGAGUGAAAUCUUGUAAUCCUCGAGGGACGACCUAUGGCGAAGGCAGUUUACCAAAACAGCUUCGACAGUGAAGGACGAAAGCUGGGGGACCAAACGGGAUUAAAUACCCCGGUAGUCCCAGCCGUAAACAAUGUGCGUUAGGUGU
rnacentral:rRNA from 1 species